CUACGGGGUGCAGCAGUGGGGAAUAUUGGACAAUGGGGGCAACCCUGAUCCAGCAAUACCGCGUGUGUGAAGAAGGCCCGAGGGUUGUAAAGCACUUUCGGUUGGGAGGACUGCUUCUAGCACUAAUAUUGUUGGAAGUUGACGUUACCUUCAGAAGAAGCACCGGCUAACUCCGUGCCAGCAGCCGCGGUAAUACGGAGGUGCAAGCGUUAAUCGGAAUUACUGGGCGUAAAGCGCGCGUAGGCGGCUAGAUCAGUCGGGUGUGAAAGCCCCGGGCUUAACCUGGGAACUGCAUCCGAUACUGUCUAGCUUGAGUACAGGAGAGGAGAGUGGAAUUCCACAUGUAGCGGUGAAAUGCGUAGAUAUGUGGAGGAACACCAAUGGCGAAGGCAGCUCUCUGGCCUGAUACUGACGCUGAGGUGCGAAAGCGUGGGGAGCAAACAGGAUUAGAUACCCCCGUAGUC
rnacentral:rRNA from 1 species